rnacentral:tRNA from 1 species
UAUAUUUUAGUAUAUGAUGUAUAUGGAUUUUUGAUAUCCAGGGAAAGAGUUUAAUUCUUUUAAAUAUAA